AUGAUGAAGACCCAUAGGGAGGAGAAAGCAAUCGUCUUCAGUACUUCUGCCCUGAUGCAGAAGCCACUGGAGUCACAAGGAGCUUCUCACUGGUUUUGUUUAUGGAAGGGGACUGAGAGAAAAUCUGGAGCUGAAGCCACGAGAGAACAGGUGACAGAAGCUCUGCAAGAACUUCCUUACACACAUGAAACACGGGUGGCUGUGUAGAUCACAUGGCAGAACAACACCAUCAGCCCGCACCCCACCCCGUGGGAGUCAGGAAUUUGGUACAGGCACCCUGCCCUUGUUUUAUGCUUGGACUGAACUCAAGUUAGCGUUUGUAGAUCGGGUACAGUAAUCCUUGUGAACUCCUCUUUAUCACCAGUGCAGAUUCUCAUCGAUGUAACUUGGAGUAAAGCUCCUGAAGCCCGUGGAAUAACGUGGAUUUAUCCGUGGCAUACACAGACCCAGCAGUCAGCACCAGUGCUAGAGCAGUGGUCCCACCAGCUAACAGAAAUCACCAGGCAGAACUGCUUCCACUGAAUGCAGAAGGGAGGACUGCAAGCCCACCUAGAGCCGAUGCUGGAAUCACAUGCAGCCAAACUUGUUUUCAACUGGUCUGUUCAAGUGCUUUAAGUUAAGCACACACAUAAGUAUUUGCAGGAUUAAAGCCUCCGUUUGGAAUGAUAGAGUAAAUCCAAAUGGAGAUGGAUUAGCUGGCAGGGGGCAGGUGAGGUGGUCAAAGGCACAUGCAGUUUAUCAUAUGGCUCUGUAAUUUACUACAUGAUUAUCACAACUACAUAUUUGGUGUGGGGAUAUAGAUAUACAUGCACACACAUGUACACAGAGCCAAACUUUUUUGGCACGGGGGCCACACAGUCAUUUCAAAUUGAGACUCUGGGCUGCACUUGUUCCAGGACUGCUUGUGUGUUGCCAACACACUGAAGCGCCUCAGGCUUCAGUCUGAUUCUUUGUUUGCUUGCCCAUUAAAGUUCUUAUCCCACACUCCCUUUUGGCAGAAAAUUUUGUUAUUUCUGCUUUAUGCUGGCCUAGACCCUUCUCUUGCCUCUGUUCCUAUUAACCUAUAGCAGCGACAGCCAGGAGCAAACUGAAGCAGCUGGUUGGAGACGCUACUAUCAGACUGUGAAACAGCUGUUGUGCAGAGGGG
rnacentral:lncRNA from 1 species